CAGCCGCCGCGGUAAUACGAAGGGUGCAAGCGUUAAUCGGAAUUACUGGGCGUAAAGCGUGCGUAGGCGGUUUGUUAAGUCUGUUGUGAAAUCCCCGGGCUCAACCUGGGAAUGGCAAUGGAUACUGGCAAGCUAGAGUGUGUCAGAGGAUGGUGGAGUUCCCGGUGUAGCGGUGAAAUGCGUAGAGAUCGGGAGGAACAUCAGUGGCGAAGGCGGCCAUCUGGGACAACACUGACGCUGAGGCACGAAAGCGUGGGGAGCAAACAGGAUUAGAUACCCCCGUAGUCCCUGUCUCUUAUAC
rnacentral:rRNA from 1 species